GGUGAACGCUGGCGGCGUGCUUAAGACAUGCAAGUCGAACGGCAGUCUUCGGACUGUAGUGGCGCACGGGUGAGUAACGCGUAACUGACCUACCCCAAAGUCGCGGAUAACGAUUCGAAAGAAUCGCUAAUACGUGCUGUGCUGUCAGAUCCUGUUCUGCCAGUAAAGAUUGCUUGCUUUGGGAUGGGGUUGCGUUCCAUCAGCUAGUUGGUGGGGUAAAGGCCCACCAAGGCGACGACGGAUAGCCGGCCUGAGAGGGUGGCCGGCCACAGGGGCACUGAGACACGGGUCCCACUCCUACGGGAGGCAGCAGUUAGGAAUCUUCCACAAUGGGCGAAAGCCUGAUGGAGCGACGCCGCGUGAGGGAUGAAGGUCUUCGGAUCGUAAACCUCUGAAUCAGGGACGAAAGACACUUCGGUGGGAUGACGGUACCUGAGUAAUAGCACCGGCUAACUCCGUGCCAGCAGCCGCGGUAACAC
rnacentral:rRNA from 1 species